UAAACGACUCUCGGCAACGGAUAUCUCGGCUCACGCAUCGAUGAAGAACGUAGCAAAAUGCGAUACUUGGUGUGAAUUGCAGAAUCCCGUGAACCAUCGAGUUUUUGAACGCAAGUUGCGCCCGAAGCCAUCCGGCUGAGGGCACGUCUGCCUGGGAGUCACGC
rnacentral:rRNA from 2 species